GACGAACGCUGGCGGCGUGCUUAACACAUGCGAGUCGAACGGUGAAGCUCCAGCUUGCUGGAGUGGAUCAGUGGCGAACGGGUGAGUAACACGUGAGCAACCUGCCCCAGACUCUGGAAUAAGCGCUGGAAACGGCGUCUAAUACUGGAUACGAGAUCAAGCCGCAUGGUUAUGGUCUGGAAAGUUUUUCGGUUUGGGAUGGGCUCGCGGCCUAUCAGCUUGUUGGUGAGGUAAUGGCUCACCAAGGCGACGACGGGUAGCCGGCCUGAGAGGGCGACCGGCCACACUGGGACUGAGACACGGCCCAGACUCCUACGGGAGGCAGCAGUGGGGAAUAUUGCACAAUGGGCGAAAGCCUGAUGCAGCGACGCCGCGUGAGGGAUGACGGCCUUCGGGUUGUAAACCUCUUUCAGCAGGGAAGAAGCGAAAGUGACGGUACCUGCAGAAGAAGCACCGGCUAACCACGUG
rnacentral:rRNA from 1 species